UACUCUCGGCAAUGGAUAUCUUAGCUCUCGUAUUGACGAAAAACAUAGUGAAAUACAAUACUUGGUGUGAAUUGCAGAAUCUCGUGAACCAUUGACUUUUUGAACGCAAGUUGCGCCUGAAGCCAUUAGGCCGAGGGCACGUCUGCCUGGAAAUUA
rnacentral:rRNA from 1 species